GCCCGGCUAGCUCAAUCGGUAGAGCGUGAGACUCUUAAUCUCAAGGCUGUGGGUUCGAUCCCCACGUUGGGCG
rfam:Amphiamblys sp. WSBS2006 Amphi_47, whole genome shotgun sequence.